UCUUCCAAACAAGGGUAGCCCGCCAUUGCCAAUUUGCCCGGGAAAUCGGAAACUUUACUUGAACCCUAUUGAUACACAUAGCAUCAUCCAAGUGCUGUAAACUUGGGCUGAAUCUCGACGAGAUCAAUCGCGCAAGAGCAACCACAAGGUCCUUUGGUAGAUGGAAUUCCAAUACUUAUUAUUGGUGAGGCAAUGGUGGAUUUGCGCCAAAAGGCUAUAGCUUUGCUCAUGUGUGUUGUCCAUUACUAUUUCAUUCGGAUGUCCUGUAAGAGAAAAAUAAGUCACAGUAUGAGGGGCUCCAAGAGAAGAAUGAAGCACUCAAAGAAAGACACUGAAUUUAGCAAAAUAGUCAUAGAGGGAAUAUCUGAGAUUGCAAACGCACUAAGGAAACUAUCCUAAGAGAGAGCUAUAGCUACAAGCUGCCACAAAUUUCAGGGGAAGAAGCUUGGAAAUUGAUCCGGGAAUGUGAAUGUGACAUCGACUAGCUGCCGGAGAUUUACUGUUUUCUCAUGAAUGACCAAAACAAACUUACAACAGUUGUUCAGUGUCCAGCCGAAGCACGCAAGGCUGUGAUCAUGGAAAUGGUCUUUGGUUCCUCAAAUACAUCCUCCCGAACAGUGAUCGUGGUAUUAUUUUUGAACUGUGUUCUGAGCAUCUUUGUUAGCAUGAGACACCAUGUUUUAAAGUCUAGCAUUUUGUUGAUAUUUUAUGGUAUGCUCUAAGCUUGAGCAUUUUUUUUAGCAUGUGGUACCACUCGAAACUUACUUUAUAUGAUGUUACUUGAUAUUCUCAGGUGAUAUAACAUCAGUGGCUACCAGUACUAGCUCGCAUAAAUUAAAAUUACAGUGAGUUGACUCAAUUCUCUUUUGUAAAUUAAAACGGGGAUUUUAGUUGAUGAUUGGCAUUUGAUUUGA